GCGCAAUAGCGGGCGCCCCCUGCGAUUAACAGGCUCUACCACCCCGAGAUCAGCGCUGCUUGGGGCGCUGGGAGGGUGCGCGGCUGUCCCGCGCGCGCGACUGCGGAACAGGCUUCCAGCUGGCGGGGACCUGGAGGGCGACAGGAUCUGAGACAUGUCCUCGGAUUGGACGCCGCGGCUUCAGUAGAUGUAACUCCCUUUCCGAUUGGUUGGAUUCAGGUACCACUUGGGGACAGCGGCCUGGUUGGGAUCGAAUGGGGUCUAGGUGGAAGGUUCGUUCUCCUCUCCGGCCACGCCCCUUUGCUAGCGUUCCAGGACUGAGUGCCCUUCAGGGGACCUGAAACACUGCGAGGCCCGGAAAGGGCCCCUGGCUAUUACCAACCCAGGGCUUACUGCCACUCCCUAAUUACUAUGCACCCGGCGGCUUAGUUGUUUGCAGGAAAAAAGACUUGGGUGGCUCUGGAGCCCAGCACAAGUCUAGAGCAACUUUAACCAGUUCCAGUGAGUUGGGAUAAAUAAAUGCAGUGUGGUUCUACCAAAGGAGUAGAUGUCUUGCUGGAGAAGUCAGCACCUGCGCAGGCAAAUUGAGUACUAGACAGUUUAUGAGUAAAGUUGCGAGAAACACAGAAACAUCGUCUUUGCCAUAGGGAACACCAGGAUUGUUUUGUUAGUUAUGCACUAAAGCUCAGACCAAUAGAGUCAGGGUCCAGCUCUCUUAAAAGGUAAGGUACACACUAACAAAACAAUCCUGGUACAUUACAAGAGAGGAUGAAAAAAAUGUCAAGGGGAUUUGCCUUUGUGGCUCAGUGAUAAUGAAUACAACCAGUAUCCAUGAAGAUGCAGGUUCGAUCCCUGGCCUUGCUCAGUGGGUUAAGGAUCUGGGGUUGCCGUGAGCUACGGUGCAGAUUGAAGACACAGCUUGGAUCUGUCAUUACUGUGGCUGUGGCAUCGACUGGCAGCUCCAGCUCCAAUUUGACCCCUAGCCUGGGAACUUCCAUAUGCCGCAGGUACGGCCCUGAAAAGACAAAAAAAAAAAAAAAAAAAAAAAAAAAAAAAAAGACUUUUUAUAGUUAUACCCAAGCUUUCCAGAUAAUUUCAUAUUUGCUUGGUGUUCGUCUUUGCUUUGGAUUCUUUUAGGCUAAUUUUUAUCUCUGAUCUUCCCUUCUUUACUCCACUCCCUUCUUCUUUGCCAUAAGCAAAAGUGACUGUGCUCUUGCCUAUUUCUGGCCUGUCUUGAAUGUAAUCUACCUUAUGUAACCUAAGGCAUCUGGCGCAGUUAGGACACUGGUUUCGUUAGACGUCUGUGACUAUCUUUGCUCCAGGUCCAGGAGCCCUGGGUGUUGGGAUGCUUUCUGACACCCUCUAAAAAGAAAAGAUGGACUUGUUCUGUUGGCACAGUUUGUCAGAAACAAACAGAAGGCUGCGUCUGUUUUCCAGAAGUCACUUUUGUAGAAGGAGUACACAGUUGGUUAGCACAACUCAUUUGUGUUCGUGCUUCUUGAAGAUCAAAUCACACCAACAAACACAAUGGACUCUUUUAAGAAAUAUGACUCUUUAGAGUCAAACUCGAAAUU
rnacentral:lncRNA from 1 species